AACGAACGCUGGCGGCAUGCCUAACACAUGCAAGUCGAGCGAGACCUUCGGGUCUAGUGGCGCACGGGUGCGUAACGCGUGGGAACCUGCCCUUAGGUUCGGAAUAACUCCCCGAAAGGGGUGCUAAUACCGGAUAAUGUCUUCGGACCAAAGAUUUAUCGCCUUUGGAUGGGCCCGCGUUGGAUUAGCUAGUUGGUAGGGUAAAAGCCUACCAAGGCGACGAUCCAUAGCUGGUCUGAGAGGAUGAUCAGCCACACUGGGACUGAGACACGGCCCAGACUCCUACGGGAGGCAGCAGUGGGGAAUAUUGGACAAUGGGCGAAAGCCUGAUCCAGCAAUGCCGCGUGAGUGAUGAAGGCCUUAGGGUUGUAAAGCUCUUUUACCCGGGAUGAUAAUGACAGUACCGGGAGAAUGAGCUCCGGCUAACUCCGUG
rnacentral:rRNA from 1 species